GACGUAGGGCGCGAGCGUUGUCCGGAUUUAUUGGGCGUAAAGAGCUCGUAGGCGGCUUGUCGCGUCGACUGUGAAAACCCGCGGCUCAACUGUGGGCUUGCAGUCGAUACGGGCAGGCUGGAGUUCGGUAGGGGAGACUGGAAUUCCAGGUGUAGCGGUGAAAUGCGUAGAUAUCUGGAGGAACACCGGUGGCGAAGGCGGCAUCCUGGACCGGUAUUGACGCUGAGGCGCGAAAGCCAGGGGAGCAAACGGG
rnacentral:rRNA from 1 species